CAGGCCUCAAGUAGAGGCAGUAGUUGUCAGUCUUUUUCUUCUCUGUUCCCCACCCUGAGAAAAAUGUAGUCAGGAUCUAUAUGAAUUUUUACAACCAGUAAAUGAGGAAGGUAGCUGAAUUGGAACCUUAAUUCCCUUUGUGAAGGCAAAACAGAGUCCAGGGAGAGUAUGAAGCAGGGAAGAAACAUUCUUAGGGAAGAAAUAAUUUAAAUAUGAAUUUAAGUGUCAUGGCACAUCAUGGCACAUACUUGAUACAGCCAUGUAACAGAUCUAAGCAGUCACUCUCAGUAGUGUGCAGAAAUACUCUGAGUUACUGUAACCUUGCCAUAUCAUUUAGGACUGAAACAUGACCUAUUCUGCAUGUGUAAACAGAGAUUAUCCAGGGCUGACCUCCCAUUUAUGAUGAUGUGUAAAUUAUUGCUGUGAGGCAAACCUAGGCAUUUAGUGUGUGUCUUUGACAGGCUUUCAGGUUGUGUUAAAUCACUUCUCUAGGUACUGGUGUUGUCUUUCCCAUCCUACUGAAUGGAGCACUGUGAUGUUAAGAAACCUUAAUGUACAGACUGUCUGUUUCUGCCUUCUUUUCUGUACUCAUUAUCUUUUGGAUUGCCAGUUCUUUGAGGUGGGGGCAGUGCCUUACUUUGUUGUAACUGGCUAAUCUAUUGAGAAUGUUAAUGCAAACAAGCAAGAUUUCCAAAUAGAACACAGUAAAUUACCUACUCCUUUAUCACACUGCAUUACAUCACUAAUUGAAUGUCAGCUAAAUCUUUCUUCAGGCAUUUAACUAAAAUAAGCAUGAGCUGUAGUGUACGUAUAAGAACCACAAAUAGUAAAGAAGCAUGAUUAUGAAAAAUUACAUAAAUUCUUCCAUUCACCAGUAACUAAGUUGCAAAUAUAUCCCUUGUAAAUUCAAACCAAAGGACUCAUUCAGCUAUCAGUGCAUGUUUCUGUUUAAAGUGUAUCAAUUUAAUAAACCAAUCAGAUUACUUAACUAGUCCAGAUUACUUUUAUCUAAAACAGAAGACAUGGAUUGCUGGACUGUUGCUAAGAGGUCUGCCAGAAUGUGAUAAAGAAAUUUGGAAGAGCUGUAUGAACUUAUUCUUUUCAGGGUCCUGAAAGAGGGUUCUGUCCACUGCUUAGACAUUUCUUUCAUGUCUUUUGGUUAUUAACCGAUUUUUGAAACUACGCUUAUUUUUUGUCACUGUUAACUGUCUCAAAGGAAGGGAAGAAAUCUGAAUUUGUUAGCACUGUUUACUAAAAACUGAGAUAAGCUGCUAAGCUGCUCUAUAAAUGAAUGUAUCUCUAACCAGCCAAGAGAAGCCAACUGACAGCUCCUCAAAUGCUUGCACUGCCGUGGGAUUUCCACUGCCAACAUUCAGCCACGUAUGGAAAAGGGGCAUCACCAAAGCAUCAGAAAUAUUGGGCACUUCGAUUAACUAGACAGACAGAAAGGCUCUUCUGCUUAAGUGAAACAGGCAUGGAUGAUUUUUGUAAUUAUGUGUUGGGUUUUUUUUAGUUGUGGAACUGUCUGUCACAGCACAGAACCCAAAUAUUAAGCAUGUACGUGGAAAAUAAGAAUGAUUAGAAGAAGAACUAGAGAAAAAACUGGUAUACUUCACUUUAAGCAAUGAGCCUGGUCCCUGUUGGCUGAGUGAUCUUCACCUUUACUUAAGAUUUUCAUGUUGAGUUCUGCAAGGCAUAGUUACUUGAAGGAGUAACUAGUCAGAUACAAGUUGCAUUGACUGUAGCUUUUGCUGGGAGCAGCUGAUGGAAGUAAAAGGGAGACAUAAUUCUGGGGAGAACACACACUCAGAGACACAAAAAUACACCUGGGUAAAAGGUCCUGGGAGAGCUGGUGUACUUGGAGCAGCAUCUCACAGACUCAGCCUACCGUGUGCCAGAUGAACUCUCUGUGACCAGUCACCUCACAUGGGUGUAGGAGUCUUUAUAAAAAGGCCAUCAGGAAAUGAGUGAGAUCAUUGUUCAAAGUCAUUAAUGCAGGACCUGGAUCUGUAGAGUUGGUGUCAUCGACCAGAGGGUAGAUGUGCAGGAGAAACCAUGGUGUCUUGUGGCCUCUGCAGACAAUUUGCAGUGUAUGUUGAAACUUUGUGGCAGAAGGAGCCCUGGGGUUCUGUAAGUGCAGUGCUCUUGGCUGCUUUUGAAGAAAAGGACUGUGAUCCCUGGGAUAAAAAGUGACGAAAAUGAUGGGGUUUGUAAAUUUCUCUGCUUAGAGAGCUAUUUGUUAGCAUUUGUGGUUCCAAGAGCCUCUCAUAGCACAGAGCAGUCCUGGUUUUCAAAUACUGACCUAAAGUUUACUGAUACCCAAGCAGAUCUGAACUUGACUCUUUAAAUAAUCUUUUCAAUAUUUUUCUUUAAAUGACAACGUUAGAUGGCAGGUACCUUGACACCAUGUACUGGAAUUAAUUUUCUUCUGCAUACCAUUCAAAUCUGAAGCAAUCAAGCCAUAGUCUGUUACCUCUUACUACCACAGCUGUCACUUUAUAUCCAGCAGAUACAGGUUUUCUCCAUAAAAUGACACAUGUUCUCUAACAAAGUUUUUUUGGGAUAGUGGGGCUAAUAAUCUACAAUUUUUAUGUUCUCCAGAGUACAAAAGGAAUUUUUACUGAUAGCAGACAUAAAAUUAAUCUGAGCAUAUUUAUAAAUACAAUAGUAUGUCUUCAUGCUAACUGGGGGGGGAGGUGUGAAUUUAUUUAUUUAUUUUUAUGUAACAAUCAGUUGAUCUUAUUUUUCCCCCAUGUUUUUCUUAACUACUGGGCAUUUAGCUUUCACUGUAAUAUAUGUGUCAUUUCAUUUAGCCCUUUUUCUCUAUUUUCUUUUAUUUUUCUAGCAUCCAGAUACUGUACAAUAUGAACUUCCUCAGUAAGACCUAAUAUUUGACACUUUUCCAGUUAGUCUACUUCCUGAACUAUUACAAAGUAUGUUUUUUAUCUUUACAUCUAGCUCUCAUGAAAUGCCACAGCAGGAAUUAUUUCCCUUAGCCCAGCUUAAAGUCUCAGCAUUGUCUCUUCCAUACCUUUUGCUCAUCUUCUCUUGUAGAACUUGUUCUACAUGAAGAGAGAUUAUUGCUAAAAAUUAUCUUGAUUUUUUGCAUAAAGAACCUCAAUUUUUUUGAGUUAUUUCCUCUGUUAAUAUCUCAGUAUCUCUUUGUGUCUAGAUGGGCUCUGUUUCUUUCACCAGCUACUCCAGAACCCCUGUUCCUAUUUGGACAACAUUUUUGCUUUAUUGGAAAAGAAUUUCUGAGAACAGGAGAGCUAAAACUAGCAGGGUUUUUACUGCAAUGAAUCAGUUAGCUAAUAUCUGAGUGAGAUAUUGAGGAGGAUCUGUAUUUCUUAGGCAGCUUGAUGAGACUUUGAAAGCUGCAGGUGGAGCUUAGAAAGCUUUAAGCUUCUUUUAGGCUCAGUUAUCUUUAAAGACAAACCAUCUAAUAAUAGGUUGUUUCUGUAAAGUAGAUAGUUGCCUGCCUGUGCUGAAGGGAGAUUGUCAGCAGCUCUGAAAGAUAUUACAAUGCCUUGGAUUAAUAAGACAUUACCUUUUGGACUUGAUUUCCUCUGCCCUGGUGAGACCUCACCUGGAGUACUGCAUCCAGCUCUAGUGCCCCCAGCACAAGAAGGGUGUGGACCUAGUUGGAGUGUGUCCAGAGAAGGGCCAUGAAAAUGAUCUGAGGGCUGCAGCAGCUCUCUUAUGAAGACAGGCUGAGAGAGUUGGAGUUGUUCAAUCUGGAAAAGAGAAGGCUCCAGGGAGACCUUAUAGUGAUCUUCCAGUACCUGAAAGGGGCCUAUAAGAAGGCUGGGGAAGAGCUGUUCACCAGGGCAUGUAACAAUAGGACAAGGGGUGAUGGUUUUAAGCUAGAGAAGGGUAGAUUAAGGUUGCACAUUAGGAAAAAGUUCUUUAAUAUGAGGGGGCUGGAUCACUGGAACAGGUUGCCUAGAGAGGUGAUGGGGCCCCCAUCCCUGGAGACACUCAAGGUCAGGCUUGAUGGGACUCUGAGCAACCUGUUCUAGUGUGAGAUGUCCCUGCUUACUGUAGGGGGGGUUGGACUAGAUGAGUUUUAGAGGUCCCUUCCAACCCAAGAUACUCUAUGAUUCUGUGAUUGUUUGAGUGCACAUAAAUAUCCAGGGAUUGACUACAACCAUUCACGCUCCCUGAGCACAUUUGUGUACUUCUCAUUUAGGUAUUUUAGAGACCUGUAUUUUGAUUUAGGUCUGUCAUUUUGGGCACAUUUGCCUGAGUACUAGUUGGCAAAUAUUUCUUGCUUCUGCUCUACAGUCUGUGCUAGACAUUAGCAUGAGCAGCACAGUGAGCAACAGUAAAGCUUUCACAACCUGCAGGUCAUUUAAAUUGGAUAUUAUAUAAAGAGUCAUAUGCAAGAUGGGUUCUGACACUAAGAGUCUCCUGCCUGCCAUGCCCUCUGCCACCCCUUCUGACUCUUUUCUCUGGCUCAAAAGAAUCUGCCAGUCAGAGCAUCCAGGGAUUUAACCUGAGUUCUAUCUCUGAAGUAACCAGAAGGCAAGCAGCAGAUGCAGUUUGUAUUGAAAAAAACACGGGGGGUACAUCUGUCCAUUUUUUAUCCUGGAGAAAAAGGGGCAGCUGCCUUCAGUUCUGUCAGAAAGCUGACUUUAAAGAUUUAAAAGAAAACACAAAAAAACACAUCUGCUCUUUCUAGUUGUUGGAGUAAUGUUGACUAGAUUAAUGACCACCAUAGCAGACUGUUGAAAGGGCUUUUCCUGAAAUGAUUACUUCUCGAAACCACAGGAAUAGAUUUUAAAUUUUGUCCAAAUUUUAUUUUAAACUUUUGAUGCCAACUAUUUGCAAGGCAAGGGUGUGUGUUUGUCAAGGUCAUUUCUCAUCCUGUCAUUGCAGGAAGGGCAAUGUGCUCUAGGUUUAUUGCACCUCCAUAUUUUGAAGUGGGGGUGGAGAAAGAAAGGUUUAGAAAUCUUGCAUAUAUUGAGAGGAUGUGCUAUAAACUUCUGAAUAUUCAAUUCAAAUGCUGUAAAAUCACAUUUAUAAAAUUAUUCAUCUCUUCUAUCUGGACAGGGGUAGCAGCUAGGGAAAAAGAAGGGGUCUCAGGAAUAUGUAACUUCUUUUCUCAGCGCUUCCUCAAACCUUGAAUAACUGACUUGACUUCUUUAAAGCUACCUUUUUUUUCUCUGCACCUAAGUUGUCUUAAUUAUACAGAUAUGAGAAAAUCUUUCUUUAAAGCUCUUCCCUCCUACAAAAGCCUUGAUCAGAAGCCCAAGACAGUGCAUCUUUCCAUUAACAUCUGCAGAAAUGCACAGAAGAUUUCUGACUAAAACAUAGCCUGAAGAAAGUUAAUGAGGUCAUUAGUAGUCUGCGUCACUAAUUAAAAGACUGUGGAUGAUCCUGGUCUUUUCCUUCAGGCCUUGAUGAAUCAUGAAAAUGACAGAAAGCUGAUUUUUCUAAAGGAGCAUCAGCUGUAAGUAAAAAAGAGGAGAAAAAUUAUGGAAAAAAUAAAUAAAGGAAAGCCAGUGACACAACUGCUACUGAUUGUGAGCAGUUGGUUGCAAGCUGAAAUUUUGUUGCAUGUUACUAGACUUUUUGACCUGAUGAGUCUUUCUUGUUAAUUAAUUUUUGUAGAAACAGACCUUUUUUUCUGCUAAAGAUCAUGUACUUCAACGAAGAAGUCUUUUACCAUCUGCAGUAGCAAUAUAGCACCAUGAAAUUCAGCACUUUUGAUUAUGAACAAUUUAAUAAAUCAUGAGCAAUAACCCUGGAGUAUUUCACACCCCUUUGCCUUGUCCUCACUUCUCAUUGACAGUUAAAAGAAUGAUGUAAAGAAUUCCUGUUUGUUUGUCUGUUUCACAGAAUUCUAGGGGUUGGAAGGGACCUAGAAAAAUCAUCUAGUCCAACCCCCCUGCCAGAGCAGGAUCACCCAGAGCACAUCACACAGGAACGUGUCCAGGCGGGUUUGGAAUGUCUCCAGUGAAGGAGACUCCACAACCUCUCUGGGCAGCCUGUCCCAGGGCUCUGUCACACUCACAGGAAAGAAGUUUUUUCUGAUGUUUACGUGGAACCUCCUGUGUUCCAGUUUGCACCCAUUGCCCCUUGUCCUAUCACUGAACAAAGCCUGGCUCCAUCCUCCUGACACUCACCCUUAACAUAUUUGUAAACACUGAUGAGGUUGCCCCUCAGUCUCCUCUUCUCCAAGCUCAAGAGACCCAGCUCCCUCAGCCUUUCCUCAUCAGGGAGAUGUUCCACUCCCUUCAUCAUCUUUGUGGCUCUGCCCUGGACUCUUUUCAAGCAGUUCCCUGUCCUUCUGGAACUGAGGGGCUCAGAACUGGACACAAUACUCCAGAUGUGGCCUCACCAAGGCAGAAUAGAGGGGGAGGAGAACCUCUCUUGACCUACUAACCACACCCUUUCUAAUACACCCCAGGAUGCCAUUGGCCUUCUUGGCCACCAGGGCACAUUGCUGGCUCAUGGUCAUCCUCCUGUGCACCAGGACCCCCAGGUCCCUUUCUCCUACACUGCUCUCCAGCAGGUCAGCCCCCAACCUGUACCGGUGCAUGGGAUUGUUCUUCCCCAGAUGCAAGACUCUGCACUUGUCCUUGUUGAAUUUCAUCAAGUUUCUCUGUGCCCAACUCUCCAGCCUGCCCAGGUCUCUCUGAAUGGCAGCACAGCCUUCUGGUGUGUCAGCCACUCCUCCGAGCUUAGUGUCAUCAGCAAUCUUGCUGAGGGCACACUCUGUUCCCUCAUCCAGGUCGUUGAUGAACAUACUGAACAGCACCGGUCCCAGUACCGACCCCUGAGGGACUCCACUAGUCACAGGCCUCCAACUAGAUUCUGCCCCACUGACCACAACUUUCUGACUUCUUCCUUUCAACCAGUUCAUGAUCCAUCUCACUACCUGACCAUCACAAACACACUUCCUCAGUUUCUCUAUGAAGAUGCUGUGGGAGACAGUGUCAAAUGCUUUACUGUUUGUCACAGCCAGUGUGAAUAAAAAUCUUGAUUUCAGUAUCAAAUACUAUGCACUUUCAAAUUGAAUUUUGCACUUUACUACUUCUGAAAAUGGUGGCACCUCUUGAUCAAGCAGGUCAAGAGCUAUGUAAGGCCUUACAUGCCUUACAUAAUGCAUACCUCAAAUGGGAACACCAAUGUGGGAAUAUUUAAAUUUUCAAAGCAUUCUUCAUGUUUGAAUGACAGCUGAAUAAACCAUCCCUUAAGAAAAAGACAGAAAGGAAACAGGGAAUAUUUUUUCCUUAAAUUAAUGAGCCUGCUCAGAACUAUUGAAGAACACCUAGCAAACUAUAAUAAUCAUAGGACUUGCAAUAAUGUGUUGUGGGGUGAAAAAAAACCUACCACUAUUCUGUUUUGGAAACUACUCUGUCAGAGUCCAUUCCAUUUCAUGUAAACUACAUAAAAUACUUUGUAAAACCUAAUUAAUUUCUGUAACAUGAUUUUGGCAAAUUAAAUCAAAACAGGUCGCUAUGACAGUUCCUACAAAUGGUUCUAUUUUAGCUUUGUUUUGUAUUAUAAAUAUGUCAAGAUGAAGCCAUUUCUGCCAAAAUAGAAAUUCUUCCUGUUGGGAGAAUUUUCCAGGCAUUUUUUUCAAUUCCCUAAUUUUCAGUAUUUGUCAAAGUCAAGAUGAAGGCUAAUUUUAAAUGCUCCAACUUACAUCUGCAUAAUCAUAAACCCCUGAGAACAUGGUUUUAGUCUUCUAAAUGAGUAAUGUCAUUAGAUACUGUAUUGUUAGUUUAAUUGACUUUGUUUGCUGCUCUGUGUAACAAGUGACUGAAAAAUAAAUGACACUUAACAUUGGC